rnacentral:rRNA from 1 species
AGUGAACGCUGGCGGUAGGCCUAACACAUGCAAGUCGAACGGCAGCACAGUAAGAGCUUGCUCUUACGGGUGGCGAGUGGCGGACGGGUGAGGAAUACAUCGGAAUCUACUUUUUCGUGGGGGAUAACGUAGGGAAACUUACGCUAAUACCGCAUACGACCUACGGGUGAAAGCAGGGGAUCUUCGGACCUUGCGCGAUUGAAUGAGCCGAUGUCGGAUUAGCUAGUUGGCGGGGUAAAGGCCCACCAAGGCAACGAUCCGUAGCUGAUCUGAGAGGAUGAUCAGCCACACUGGAACUGAGACACGGUCCAGACUCCUACGGGAGGCAGCAGUGGGGAAUAUUGGACAAUGGGCGCAAGCCUGAUCCAGCCAUACCGCGUGGGUGAAGAAGGCCUUCGGGUUGUAAAGCCCUGUUGUUGGGAAAGAAAAGCAGCAGGUUAAUACCCCGCUGUUCUGACGGUACCCAAAGAAUAAGCACCGGCUAACUUCGUG